rnacentral:rRNA from 1 species
UACGUAGGGGGCAAGCGUUGUCCGGAUUUAUUGGGCGUAAAGCGCGCGUAGGCGGCAAGGUAUGUCGUGCGUGAAAUCUCCCGGCUUAACUGGGAGGGGCCGUGCGAAAACUGCCUGGCUUGAGGUCGGAAGGGGAAAGUGGAAUUCCGGGUGUAGUGGUGGAAUACGUAGAUAUCCGGAGGAACACCAGCGGCGAAGGCGGCUUUCUGGUCCGAUUCUGACGCUGAGACACGAAAGCGUGGGUAGCAAACAGG